GACGAACGCUGGCGGCGUGCUUAACACAUGCAAGUCGAACGGAAAGGCCCUGCUUUUGUGGGGUGCUCGAGUGGCGAACGGGUGAGUAACACGUGAGUAACCUGCCCUUGACUUUGGGAUAACUUCAGGAAACUGGGGCUAAUACCGGAUAGGAGCUCCUGCUGCAUGGUGGGGGUUGGAAAGUUUCGGCGGUUGGGGAUGGACUCGCGGCUUAUCAGCUUGUUGGUGGGGUAGUGGCUUACCAAGGCUUUGACGGGUAGCCGGCCUGAGAGGGUGACCGGCCACAUUGGGACUGAGAUACGGCCCAGACUCCUACGGGGGGCAGCAGUGGGGAAUAUUGCACAAUGGGCGGAAGUCUGAUGCAGCAACGCCGCGUGCGGGAUGACGGCCUUCGGGUUGUAAACCGCUUUCGCCUGUGACGAAGCGUGAGUGACGGUAAUGGGUAAAGAAGCACCGGCUAACUACGUGCCAGCAGCCGCGGUGAUACGUAGGGUGCGAGCGUUGUCCGGAUUUAUUGGGCGUAAAGGGCUCGUAGGUGGUUGAUCGCGUCGGAAGUGUAAUCUUGGGGCUUAACCCUGAGCGUGCUUUCGAUACGGGUUGACUUGAGGAAGGUAGGGGAGAAUGGAAUUCCUGGUGGAGCGGUGGAAUGCGCAGAUAUCAGGAGGAACACCAGUGGCGAAGGCGGUUCUCUGGGCCUUUCCUGACGCUGAGGAGCGAAAGCGUGGGGAGCGAACAGGCUUAGAUACCCUGGUAGUCCACGCUGUAAACGGUGGGUACUAGGUGUGGGGUCCAUUCCACGGGUUCCGUGCCGUAGCUAACGCUUUAAGUACCCCGCCUGGGGAGUACGGCCGCAAGGCUAAAACUCAAAGGAAUUGACGGGGCCCCGCACAAGCGGCGGAGCAUGCGGAUUAAUUCGAUGCAACGCGUAGAACCUUACCUGGGUUUGACAUGGAUCGGGAGUGCUCAGAGAUGGGUGUGCCUCUUUUGGGGUCGGUUCACAGGUGGUGCAUGGCUGUCGUCAGCUCGUGUCGUGAGAUGUUGGGUUAAGUCCCGCAACGAGCGCAACCCUUGUUCACUGUUGCCAGCACGUUAUGGUGGGGACUCAGUGGAGACCGCCGGGGUCAACUCGGAGGAAGGUGGGGAUGACGUCAAGUCAUCAUGCCCCUUAUGUCCAGGGCUUCACGCAUGCUACAAUGGCUGGUACAGAGAGUGGCGAGCCUGUGAGGGUGAGCGAAUCUCGGAAAGCCGGUCUCAGUUCGGAUUGGGGUCUGCAACUCGACCUCAUGAAGUCGGAGUCGCUAGUAAUCGCAGAUCAGCAACGCUGCGGUGAAUACGUUCCCGGGGCU
rnacentral:rRNA from 1 species